CCUGUAGCUCAGUUGGAUAGAGCAACGGAUUUCUAAUCCGUGGGUCAGGAGUUCGAAUCUCUUCAGG
rnacentral:tRNA from 1 species